rnacentral:rRNA from 1 species
CCUACGGGAGGCAGCAGUCGGGAAUAUUGCGCAAUGGAGGAAACUCUGACGCAGUGACGCCGCGUGCAGGAAGAAGGUUUUCGGAUUGUAAACUGCUUUAGACAGGGAAGAAACAAGCCAUUACCUGUAAAAUAAGCUCCGGCUAACUACGUGCCAGCAGCAGCGGUAAUACGUAGGGCGCAAGCGUUACCCGGAUUUAUUGGGUGUAAAGGGUGAGUAGACGGGAAGUCAAGUUGGUUGUGAAAUCCCUCGGCUUAACUGAGGAACUGCAACCAAAACUAGCUUUCUUGAGUGCUGGAGAGGAAAGUGGAAUUCCUGGUGUAGCGGUGAAAUGCGGAGAUAGCACGAAGAACUCCGAUUGCGAAGGCAGCUUACUAAACUGCCACUGACAUUGAUGCUCGAAAGUGUGGGUAUCAAACAGGAUUAGAUACCCGUGUAGUC